AGGAAAAGAAACUAACAAGGAUUCCCCUAGUAACGGCGAGUGAAGCGGGAAGAGCUCAAAUUUGAAAUCUGGUAGCCUUCGGUUGCCCGAGUUGUAAUCUAGAGAAGUGUUUUCCGUGCCGGCCCAUGUACAAGUCCCUUGGAACAGGGCGUCAUAGAGGGUGAGAAUCCCGUCCUUGACAUGGACCCCCGGUGCUUUGUGAUACACUUUCAACGAGUCGAGUUGUUUGGGAAUGCAGCUCAAAAUGGGUGGUGAAUUCCAUCUAAAGCUAAAUAUUGGCGAGAGACCGAUAGCGAACAAGUACCGUGAGGGAAAGAUGAAAAGCACUUUGGAAAGAGAGUUAAACAGUACGUGAAAUUGUUGAAAGGGAAACGAUUGAAGUCAGUCAUGCUCUUGGGACUUACCUCCCUUGAGUGGGGUCAACAUCAGUUUUGAUCGAUGGAUAAAGGCACGGGGAAGGUAGCACUCUCGGGUGAACUUAUAGCCUCGCGUCAUAUACAUUGAUUGGGACUGAGGAACGCAGCAUG
rnacentral:rRNA from 1 species